UAUAAUAAACAAAAAAAUCUCAUAUAAACAUAUGAAUAUAUGUAUGUAAAUUAUAAAACAAUUUUUAAAAAUUAAUUUAAAUGGAAGUAAGAAAGUUUAUAAAGUAUUUUGGCUAGCAAAUAAAUAGUUGUGUACAAUAGUUGAGAAUAUUUAUUAAAUAACCAAAGUAAUUGUUGGACAAUUGCCAUGUUUUAAAAGUUAAUAAAUUUCUAUAGAAAUAAAAAACGUGAACAACUAAACAAAAAGUUCUUAACUCAAGUCAACUCAAGCUCUAAUACAUGCAAUUUUCUUUGAUGUUGGCUUAACAUUUGAUUUGUUGAUUUUACAAAGGAGAUAACUCAAAGUGUAACUCAACCUUACCACAUUCUAAAUCAACACACAAACUCAAAAGUUCACAACAAAAUCAUGAUUGGUAACAUUUCUGAUUAAUAUUCUUAACUCAAACUAAAUCAAGUGUAAAACAUGUCACCAAUCAAAGCCAAAGUAAGAUUUCUUUAACCUUGAUGCUUUGUCCAGUAGCACGGAAUAGCAUCAUCAAAUGAGGAAAAUGGCUUCAUGUUAAUCUUUCCAUUUCCUUGAUUUACUUUGAGUAGAUUGCAUAAUAUAUAAACAGAGUAAAACUGGUUAAUGAAUUUUAACAAAAUAAUGAUUACGCCUAAUGGAAAAUAUUAUAUAUUCGGUCUCAAACUUAAUAAUAUGAUAUUCAAAAAUUAAAAGUAAUUUAUUAAUUUAAAUAAAAAAAUUAUGGCUAAGAUAAAAAUUGUAAAAAUGUGUGCAUGUUUUUUUGAGGUAAUUGCAUUGUAGAACUAACAGAAAAAAAUUAAAUUAAGUAAAUAUCCAUAUCACUCUAUGUGCUAUGUUAUUGCUUAUUCUCUAGAAAGCUGACCAAGAUGUCAUUGCUUCCGUGAUCACCACAAAAUCAGCCUUCUCCUUCUUUUUGCUGAAUGAAAGCUCUCUCCUUCUUUUCAUAUGCAAUAACAUCUUGAUAGACUUUCUUUGUCCUCUUCUUCGAUGGCUUAACCGGUGGAGAGCACGAUCAUCUAACUCUUCAACCACCUCACCUCCUCUGUUAUCCUCUCUGCACGCUAUUCCAUCUGCUCUCCCUCCGGUCAGGCCACCUCCUUCUCAACCUCAAUCAGCUUCACCUUUAAUAUCGUUUGCAACCAUCCAUUCCUCUACGACCGUCGUCACUCGUUCUUUCCUCACUUCCUCCCGACAUCUCUUCUUCUCCUCAACUUCAUAUGAUAAAAUGAACAAUAAGAAGCUUUGUUUCCUUUUCCUGGAUCUCACGUGAGAGAAACAGGGUAGCUGAUAGUUUAGCAAAGCAGGUUUUGUCUGCUGAACUUGCCAUUAUGGCCCCAACCAACUCUGUUUAAGAGUUUUAAUGAAUGAAAUGUGUUUCAAAAAAAAAAUGAACAAUAAGAAAAAAUGAACAGUAAAAAAACAUGUAUUAUAUUAUUGUGUACUAAUUUCUCUUAGUUUUUUAGUACAUAAUAGUAUUUGUGAAGCCAUAAAUAUUGUGUGAUACAUAGACUUAUUGCUGACACUAAUCCAAAAUUUGUUUCAGCAAAUAAUAUAAAAUCAAAUUAGUUCAUAAAUAUAGCAUACAUGUUGUUAUAGACAAAUAAAAUUGUAUAGUAUGAAGUUCAGUGAAUCAAGCAAUUCUGUUUUUUUGAACCAA